rnacentral:rRNA from 1 species
AAUUUGGGUUUUUAACUUAGAUUUGGGUGGCGGACGGGUGAGUAACGCGUAAAGAACUUGCCUCACAGCUAGGGACAACAUUUAGAAAUGAAUGCUAAUACCUGAUAUUAUGAUUUUAAGGCAUCUUAGAAUUAUGAAAGCUAUAAGCACUGUGAGAGAGCUUUGCGUCCCAUUAGCUAGUUGGAGAGGUAACAGCUCACCAAGGCGAUGAUGGGUAGCCGGCCUGAGAGGGUGAACGGCCACAAGGGGACUGAGACACGGCCCUUACUCCUACGGGAGGCAGCAGUGGGGAAUAUUGGACAAUGGACCGAGAGUCUGAUCCAGCAAUUCUGUGUGCACGAUGAAGUUUUUCGGAAUGUAAAGUGCUUUCAGUUGGGAAGAAAAAAAUGACGGUACCAACAGAAGAAGUGACGGCUAAAUACGUGCCAGCAGCCGCGGUAAUACGUAUGUCACGAGCGUUAUCCGGAUUUAUUGGGCGUAAAGCGCGUCUAGGUGGUUAUGUAAGUCUGAUGUGAAAAUGCAGGGCUCAACUCUGUAUUGCGUUGGAAACUGUAUAACUAGAGUACUGGAGAGGUAAGUGGAACUACAAGUGUAGAGGUGAAAUUCGUAGAUAUUUGUAGGAAUGCCGAUGGGGAAGCCAGCUUACUGGACAGAUACUGACGCUAAAGCGCGAAAGCGUGGGUAGCAAACAGGAUUAGAUACCCUGGUAGUCCACGCUGUAAACGAUGAUUACUAGGUGUUGGGGGUCGAACCUCAGCGCCCAAGCAAACGCGAUAAGUAAUCCGCCUGGGGAGUACGUACGCAAGUAUGAAACUCAAAGGAAUUGACGGGGACCCGCACAA